UACGGGGGGGGCAAGCGUUGUUCGGAAUUACUGGGCGUAAAGGGCUCGUAGGCGGCCAACUAAGUCAGACGUGAAAUCCCCAGGCUUAACCUGUGAACUGCGUCUGAUACUGGAUGGCUUGAAUUCGGGAGAGGGAGGCAGAAUUCCAGGUGUAGCGGUGAAAUGCAUAGAUAUCUGGAGGAAUACCGGUGGCGAAGGCGGCAACCUGGACCGACAUUGACGCUGAUGAGCGAAAGCUAGGGGAGCAAACGGG
rnacentral:rRNA from 1 species